rnacentral:rRNA from 1 species
AGGGCACCACCAGGAGUGGAGCCUGCGGCUUAAUUUGACUCAACACGGGAAAACUUACCUGGUCCUGACACUAGAAGGAUUGACAGAUUGAUAGCUCUUUCUUGAUUUGGUGGAUGGUGGUGCAUGGCCGUUCUUAGUUGGUGGAGUGAUUUGUCUGGUUAAUUCCGAUAACGAACGAGACUCUAGCCUAUUAAAUAACACGCAGAAUCUUGUCUUCUGUGGCGUUUCUUAAUGGGAUCAAGUGUGUUUAACGCUUUGGAACAGAGCAAUAACAGGUCUGUGAUGCCCUUAGAUGUUCGGGGCCGCACGCGCGCUACAUUGAGAGACAAAAUGAGUUUUCUAGCCUUUAAUAAGGCUAGUAAUCUUUGAAUGUUUUUCUUAAUGGGGAUAGGGGAUUGCAAUUGUGCCCCUUGAACGAGGAAUUCCCAGUAAGUGCUAGUCAUUAGCUAGUACUGAUUACGUCCCUGCCCUUUGUACACGCCGCCCGUCGCUACUACCGAUUGAAUGGUUUAGUGAGAU